GAUGAACGCUGACAGAAUGCUUAACACAUGCAAGUCAACUUGAAUUUGGGUUUUUAAUUUAGGUUUGGGUGGCGGACGGGUGAGUAACGCGUAAAGAACUUGCCUCACAGCUAGGGACAACAUUUGGAAACGAAUGCUAAUACCUAAUAUUAUGAUAAUAGGGCAUCCUAUAAUUAUGAAAGCUAUAAGCGCUGUGAGAGAGCUAUGCGUCCCAUUAGCUAGUUGGAGAGGUAACGGCUCACCAAGGCGAUGAUGGGUAGCCGGCCUGAGAGGGUGAUCGGCCACAAGGGGACUGAGACACGGCCCUUACUCCUACGGGAGGCAGCAGUGGGGAAUAUUGGACAAUGGACCAAGAGUCUGAUCCAGCAAUUCUGUGUGCACGAUGAAGUUUUUCGGAAUGUAAAGUGCUUUCAGUUGGGAAGAAAGAAAUGACGGUACCAACAGAAGAAGUGACGGCUAAAUACGUGCCAGCAGCCGCGGUAAUACGUAUGUCACGAGCGUUAUCCGGAUUUAUUGGGCGUAAAGCGCGUCUAGGUGGUUAUGUAAGUCUGAUGUGAAAAUGCAGGGCUCAACUCUGUAUUGCGUUGGAAACUGUAUAACUAGAGUACUGGAGAGGUAAGCGGAACUACAAGUGUAGAGGUGAAAUUCGUAGAUAUUUGUAGGAAUGCCGAUGGGGAAGCCAGCUUACUGGACAGAUACUGACGCUGAAGCGCGAAAGCGUGGGUAGCAAACAGG
rnacentral:rRNA from 1 species